rnacentral:lncRNA from 1 species
GUAACGCCGCAGGCCGGCUUCUCCCCGCCUGGCCCGAGCCCCUCUCCCGCCUGGGCCGUCGGAGCGAGCCCGCCCCGCCCCCGGAGUCCUGACGACCGCGCGCCGCGACGUGCCCCGCCUCUACCGUCCUCCCGGGGCGGGGCCUGUGGUCCGCGCGGCCCGCGCGCUCGGUUCCGGCCGCCCGGGGAGCACCGCAGGGCGUCGGGAGAGCGACGGGAGUGAGCGUGCGUGGAAGUUGGUCCCGAGGAGGAGGAAGCUUUCGGAGCCCCGGUGCCGCCCCGAUGCGACCUGAACGCGCUUCCGAGGCACGGCUGAGUGGGCCCGCGGGGCUGGAGGCGGAGCGGCGUGGGGCCCCGUCCGCCGUCCUGGUCCGGGGUGCUGCGGCGGCGGCCUCGUGCGCGCGGUGAGCGGCUGCCCACGGGGAGGGGGCGAGCGCGCCCAGCUUUCUCAGUAUUCGUCCGUUUUCUCUUCCUCGUGCUUCUGUCUUUUGCCGUUUUCGUUUGUCUUUAGAACAGCAUGAAACAGCCACAUUGUAAAGCUAACGGAUUUCCUUUACAAAUAAUAAAAGCAUUCAGAGUUUGCCUGAACCAGCCAGAAGGACCCAGAGGGGAGAGGAAUAGUUCUUCCUCCCUACGUGGCUAAGUUCAAAACAGUUGUUUUGUUGAUAAUCGACCUUCAGAGAAUAAACAGCUUGUUUAAUGCUAAUUUGCUUUCUGCCUUCCGGGCCUGACCCAUGGAGUAUCUCAGCCUUUGGUGUUCGCCUGAUCCAUGGAGUAUCUCAGCCUUUCGUGUUCGCCUGAUCCAUGGAGUAUCUCAGCCUUUCGUGUUCGCCUGAUCCAUGGAGUAUCUCAGCCUUUCGUGUUCGCCUGAUCCAUGGAGUAUCUCAGCCUUUCGUGUUCGCCUGUGUCUUCCAAUGUCACCCAUGAGCUAAAUCCAAGAAGUGUGCAAAGCUUAGGAUGUCUUCCUGGCAGCCGAGCGUCUCUUUGUGACUUGCUUGGCAGAGUUGGACAAAGUGCCAACAAGUACUGAUUACAGUUAUAAACUCUAGGAUGACCAAUAGUCCAGAUUUUCUGGGAACUGUCCUUGUUUUAGUACUGAAAAUCCUGCUUCCUGAGAAACCCCUCAGGCCAGAGCAAACUUGACAUGGUUGGUCACCCUAACAACUGCCAAGUCAACCUCUGUUAAAGAAAAAAUUAUUCUG